GCAAGGAGAAGGAGGAGGUGCUGCUUAGCUGGGAGCCGAAGGAGGAGCUGCUGGGUGAUGAAGGGGCUAUGUAUUGCGAUGGGGAAGCUUGGAGGAGAAUCAGAUUUAGGGAAGGACAUCAAGAAUCCCGCCUGGGAUAUAUUAAAGAUAGAACACAUACAAACAUCAAAAAAUCACAACGCCAGUCUGAGUGUGAGUCCACGGGACUCCCGGAGAGGCCAGGGCUGCAGGCUGCCACCCAGGGCCUGCCUCUCGGAAGCCGGGACGUGUGUGGACUGUGCCCUCCCUGGAGGUUACACCGAGGGCUGGCACAGCACACUGGCUCGGGGCCUGCCGCCUGCUCACAGCUCUCCUCCCAGCGUUUAUUGGGACUCCUGCCACGUCCGAGGUUCUCCCUUCACAAAGGCAAGAAGGGCCAGGGGAAGGGAAUGUUCUUUCUGAACACCAGACAUGACACAUGGCCUCAAACAGGCAAGAGCUCAAGUCGGAUAGCUGCGGUGGCCGCAGGUAGGCCUCCCAACCGUGAGGAGUCCAAAACUGACUCAGAAAAGCACCCAGGCCUGUGACUAAUACGGUCGUGCCUCGGAGCACCCAGAGGGCAAAGCAGGCCCAGCAUCCUCCCUGGAGCCAAAUGAAGACAUCAGGGGUCCAUAACUAGCACCUUCUUCCUCACUCCAUGGGCCUUGGGGCAUCAGCCAGAGUCCACCUCCGGGUGCUUCUAGGCCGCACAGCUUGGCGCAUCUCUCUAUUUUCUUCCAUCGAGGUCUCUCCCCUCUGGCUUCUUGCCUAGCCAGUUGCCCACAGACUGGAAAACAAAGGCUCACUGCCUUCCCCAGAGACCUGGGCUUAAGGGAUGGGCCUUGAGCAGGCUGGGCGGAUGCUCUGUUGAUUUUUUUUCCAAGUGCAGAGAAUGUGACAGCCAAUUCCUGUUGGAAAUGGCUGUUGUUUUCUUUGGAGCCCAAAGCACUUUUCCUUUCUCGUGACUGUUCCAGUUCAGGUCGUGUUUAGGAUGGAGAUGAUUCUUUAACCUAAUUGCAUGCCUUCUUGAUCUGCGCCUCUUAAACUUUUGGGGCACAGAUCCUACUGCAAGCCUGAUAAAAACCAUAGACCCUCUCCCUAAAACACACACGUGCACACGCGCACGCACGCACCUGUCCCCAAUUUAACAUUUAGUAUCAAUCCUAGCAGAUUAAGACCCCUUGGAUGAAGGAGGGUGAGUCCUUCCUGCGCUCCCCCACCUCCCCUCCAGUCCCGCUUUCUUUUCAGUCUGGAUCUUAAAAUUCCCUUUCUUUAGCAUUCUCAGGGGCCAGUGUUCUUGCCUGGCUUCUGCUUGAAUUAAUCCCAUGUGUCCAGCCACGGAGGAGGCUGUGCCCAGUUUUUCAGGCAGCUGAAUAUUCCAGAGGGAUUUGUCAAACUUCUGUCUCAUCCGUGCCUAGUUAUUACGGAGGGGCCAGGCUGCAAGAGUCUCUGCAGGUUCUGGACGAGGUGGCACAGCUUUGGAUGAGACUAGGAAGACAGGCGUUGUCUGGUUUUGUUAAAUUCCAGAAGCAAGUCACUUCGCCAAAAUUGCCAGAAAUAAAAGGACUGUCUAGACACUUACAUAUGAGGGGCUCUCCUCUGAAGAGAGACCAUCCUGAAGAUCAUUGAUUUAUGCUUCGAUGAACUGGCCUCCUGGAGAGAAGCAUGUUUUGAGCCGCAAGAGCCGAAGUGGAGGCCACGCCGAUGAGGGGUCCAGGGGGUGGGGCGAUGGUUGCUCGCACCUCUUGGGGGCGCUGCAGUCGGAGCGAGGAGGACUGUUUUCCAGGAAAAACAAAGAUACAAAUCCUCCUUAAGAGAAAGUUGCUUGGCUGUUCUUGUCUCUGCAGAAUGUUAAUCUCCUUGGCAGGCCAACGAAAGGAACGAAAAGGAGAGCUGAUAUGUAUUAAGUGCCAACUGCAUACCUCGAUCUCAGGUGAUACAUUCACAUAAGAAAUUUUCCCAUUCUUGUCCUCAUCUGCAGAGACACCCACUCCCCAUGCUAUAGCACGAGAGUCAGGAAGCUCCAGUGCAGGUUGUUAAAUCCACCCACUGGAGGGAGUGAAACACGGUGCUGUCACGAUCCUCCAGACUUUUUUGACCUCUUGCCUGGGAUCUGUCACUUUGGAUCCUCUCUGCAGG